UGCACGGUGGCGCAGUUGGUAGCACUGUUGUCUUGUCAACAAAAAGGUCCUGGGUUCGACUCCCAGCCGGGGAUCUUUCUGCAU